rnacentral:rRNA from 1 species
CAGUAGCCACGGUAAUACGUAGGUGGCAAGCGUUGUCCGGAAUUAUUGGGCGUAAAGGGCUCGCAGGCGGUUUCUUAAGUCUGAUGUGAAAGCCCACGGCUCAACCGUGGAGGGUCAUUGGAAACUGUUAAACUUGAGUGCAGGAGAGAAAAGUGGAAUUCCUAGUGUAGCGGUGAAAUGCGUAGAGAUUAGGAGGAACACCAGUGGCGAAGGCGACUCUCUGGUCUGUAACUGACGCUGAGGAGCGAAAGCGUGGGGAGCGAACAGGAUUAGAUACCCCCGUAGUCCCUGUCUCUUAUAC